UACGUAGGUGGCAAGCGUUGUCCGGAUUUACUGGGCGUAAAGAGCGCGCAGGCGGUUGAAUCAGUCGAAUGUGAAAGCCCCCGGCUUAACCGGGGAGGGUCGUCGGGGACGGUGGAGCUUGAGGGCGGGAGAGGUCGGUGGAAUUCCCGGUGUAGUGGUGAAAUGCGUAGAGAUCGGGAGGAACACCUGUGGCGAAGGCGGCCGACUGGGCCGACCCUGACGCUGAGGCGCGAAGGCGUGGGGAGCGAACGGG
rnacentral:rRNA from 1 species